rnacentral:rRNA from 1 species
CCUACGGGAGGCAGCAGUGAGGAAUAUUGGUCAAUGGGCGAGAGCCUGAACCAGCCAAGUCGCGUGAGGGAGUACUGCCCUAUGGGUUGUAAACCUCUUUUGUCGGGGAGCAAAAGCCGGACGUGUCCGGCUGUGAGAGUACCCGAAGAAACAGCAUCGGCUAACUCCGUGCCAGCAGCCGCGGUAAUACGGAGGAUGCGAGCGUUAUCCGGAUUUAUUGGGUUUAAAGGGUUCGCAGGCGGAUUGUUAAGUCGGCGGUAAAAUCGGUGGGCUAAACCCCAUCCAGUCGUUGAAACUGGGGAUCUAGAGUGUGCGAGAGGUAUGCGGAAUGCGUGGUGUAGCGGUGAAAUGCAUAGAUAUCACGCAGAACCCCGAUUGCGAAGGCAGCAUACCGGUGCACAACUGACGCUCAGGCACGAAAGCGUGGGUAGCGAACAGGAUUAGAUACCCUUGUAGUC